GAUCCAUUAGCUCAGCUGGGAGAGCGCUACCUUGACAGGGUAGAGGUCACUGGUUCGAACCCAGUAUGGGUCACCA
rnacentral:tRNA from 1 species